GGUCUCCGUAGGUGAACCUGCGGAGGGAUCAUUACACAAUAAAAUACGAAGGCCGUUCGCGGCUGGACUAUUUAUUACCCUUGUCUUUUGCGCACUUGUUGUUUCCUGGGCGGGUUCGCUCGCCACCAGGACCACAAUAUAAACCUUUUUUAUGCAGUUGCAAUCAGCGUCAGUAUAACAAAUGUAAAUCAUUUACAACUUUCAACAACGGAUCUCUUGGUUCUGGCAUCGAUGAAGAACGCAGCGAAAUGCGAUACGUAGUGUGAAUUGCAGAAUUCAGUGAAUCAUCGAAUCUUUGAACGCACAUUGCGCCCUUUGGUAUUCCAAAGGGCAUGCCUGUUCGAGCGUCAUUUGUACCCUCAAGCUUUGCUUGGUGUUGGGCGUUUUUGUCCCCCCCAAAAGGGGGACUCGCCUUAAAAGGAUUGGCAGCCGGCCUACUGGUUUCGCAGCGCAGCACAUUUUUGCGCUUGCAAUCAGCAAAAGAGGACGGCAAUCCAUCAAGACUCCUUCUCACGUUUGACCUCGGAUCAGGUAGGGAUACCCGCUGAACUUAAGCAU
rnacentral:rRNA from 1 species